CUACGGGAUGCUCCAGUGGGGAAUAUUGCACAAUGGGCGCAAGCCUGAUGCAGCAACGCCGCGUGAGGGAUGAAGGCCUUCGGGUUGUAAACCUCUUUUAGCAGGGAAGAAGCGAAAGUGACGGUACCUGCAGAAAAAGCACCGGCUAACUACGUGUCAGCAGCCGCGGUAAUACGUAGGGUGCAAGCGUUGUCCGGAAUUAUUGGGCGUAAAGAGCUCGUAGGCGGUUUGUCACGUCUGCUGUGAAAAUCCAAGGCUCAACCUUGGACUUGCAGUGGGUACGGGCAGGCUAGAGUGCGGUAGGGGAGAUGGGAAUUCCUGGUGUAGCGGUGGAAUGCGCAGAUAUCAGGAGGAACACCAAUGGCGAAGGCACAUCUCUGGGCCGUAACUGACGCUGAGGAGCGAAAGCGUGGGGAGCGAACAGGAUUAGAUACCCGGGUAGUC
rnacentral:rRNA from 1 species